AUGUGCUUAACCAAUAAGCAUUUUCCUAAGGAUUUUCCUGUCUAAACACUUCCAUUCUGGGCUUCAAUCCUGAGGGCAAUGCACAAACGAGUCCCAACUCCUUCCCAGGAAACACAGAUAAUUUGAUAGGAGAAUGAGUCAAUUAAUUAUUGACUAUGUAUAGGUAUUUCUUAGGUAGUAUUUCUUAAUGAUUUACUUCCCUCUUGUUGUUUGGACUUUUCCACCUACGCACACUACAUGUUGACCUAUGAGCAUAGAUGGGUACUCCUGGAAUCUGCUUGCCUGCCUAAACUCAAGCAAUUGAAAUUUGUGACAUGAAGCUUUGACACUUAGUCUGCUCAGCAUUGCCAGUCAAAUACAGUGGAAUUGCUCCUGGUUUUGGAAAUGAAUCAUACGAGUUUGCAGGAUUGAAAACUCCUUUAGAUCUGCUGACUACAAGAGCUGAGAACUAUACAAGUGCCUGUAUUCCAUGCACUUCUCUUAAACACAAGAUAAUCUUUCUCGCUGUUUUGAUGUAUACUUUUUGUAAAUGCAGAAGAUUCAUUAGUUAAACUAAACUAGAGCAUUCAAAGUAUUUAAACUAGCCAGGAUCCUUUUAAGUGACCCUAAUUUGAUUGUGAAUAUGUUCUACUGUAGUUGCAUUUAAUGGCAGUAGAUACUACUACUUGUAUUCCUAACCCUGAGUGGAAGUGCUUGCCUGUCUUUUGGUAUGUUUUAAAUGCUUCAGUUUCAAUUCAAGUUGCUUUUGAGUUAGAGCAGCAUAUAUGGGCAUCUCUGAGGGCAUGGUUUUGACUAGCAAGCUGAAAAUGCUAGUUAGCUGUUAAGCUAACUUUGUAUUGCGCUGCCAUUAUUAUAUUCUUGUUUACUUUGUUAUUAAAUUAUCUGUAAUUUUGUGAUGGGCAGUGGGUGAUUGAAAUCAUUCCCUGUACCUUUAUGACCCUAAUUACCAACAAAAAUGCUCAGGAGACCUAUUGUGUUUCAUUAAAUUACCUCUUGGAGCCAGUGUU